ensembl:lncRNA
ACGGACUGGUUUUCUGAUCCAUGCCCUUACCUUUUUUUUCCCAUUGUCCAAUGAGAAGAUGCUCCAUAGCAGGGUGCUCAUAUCAGAUUUCUUGAUCCAACAUCUCACUCUGUACCUCUUACAGUCAGUAGACUUGGAGGAUGUGAAGCCUGAUCUGCUGCUAGUCAAAGAGGAGACAAUGGACAACAGACUAGAGAGCAUUGAUCUGCUGAGUGGACUAAAGAUGGAAGAGCUAGGUGGUUGGCUGGAGGCUAACAGAGGACACUGGGUGGCCAUCUUGGAUUCCUAGACAGGUUUAGCCAAGAUCCAAGGGGGACAACAUUACUGAGCAGGCCAGGAUCAGAGGCUAAAUAGUAGAGUCUGCAGUCCAUGAGGAACUGCUGAUAUCUGGUGUUGCUGGCGGGAGAGACUGACCCUCUGAAGCGGCUGGUCACAAACCCCGGCCCCGGAUCAGAACCCUGGAUCAGGAGCUGUCACUCUUCUUUCCCGAGUCAGAACCAGGACUGAACCGCGAGGAACAAAGACUCCACCACCACACAGAACACAACCAGUGGACAGGUGGACUGAACAACCUCAGUCCUGGUGGUCAUCAGAGAGACAGAGGCUCCAGUCAGGGAUCCAGUCUGCAGCCCAGACCCUUCUCUUCACAGUCUCAGUGCAGGGAUGAAGCAGGGCCUGGGGUUGAUAGAGAUAGACCCUCCUGUUCCUAUGAUGCAAACACCACAGUAUCCAUGAUGAACAGAGCAGGUCACCCUGGGCUUCAGCCUUCACAGAGGGUGGUGGGAGACCCCCUGGUGGUAGGCUUUCAGGAGGUGCCUAGUGUCUCAGUUCAUAGAAAGCCUGGGCUUGGACCUGGGUCUAGCUUUCCUCAGCUACCGCAUGGUUACCGCACCGAUACAGACCAGGUCAGGAUGGGCGUUCACCAGGAGAGGUACGUAGCCUAUAACACAACACACAAUCCCAACAACAUCCAAACAAUGGCAAGAGGUCAAGGAGGGAGCUGAAAGACUAACCACCUGAGGGUGGUGACUCCUGCUUCUACCUCUGGUGUAAUUGGGUCUCAACGUUGGAGUCGAGCAUUAGGACGGACGCAGACAAGCCGUACAGCUGCUCCACGUGUGGGAAGAGCUUUACUUAGGCGACCUAUGUGAAA